CCUACGGGAGGCUGCAGUGGGGGAUAUUGCACAAUGGGGGGAACCCUGAUGCAGCGACGCCGCGUGGGUGAAGAAGCGCCUCGGCGCGUAAAGCCCUGUCAGCAGGGAAGAAAAUGACGGUACCUGACGAAGAAGCCCCGGCUAACUACGUGCCAGCAGCCGCGGUAAUACGUAGGGGGCAAGCGUUAUCCGGAUUUACUGGGGGUAAAGGGGGCGCAGACGGCGAUGCAAGCCAGGAGUGAAAGCCCGGGGCCCAACCCCGGGACUGCUCUUGGAACUGCGUGGCUGGAGUGCAGGAGGGGCAGGCGGAAUGCCUGGUGUAGCGGUGAAAUGCGUAGAUAUCAGGAGGAACAUCGGUGGCGAAGGCGGCCUGCUGGACUGCAACUGACGUUGAGGCCCGAAAGCGUGGGGAGCAAACAGGAUUAGAUACCCGAGUAGUC
rnacentral:rRNA from 1 species